AGAUGCAGCUGAGUGAUCUUCUUUUCUUGCUCAAGAAGUCGGGAAAUACCGUCAGGAAUCCCCUCAAGCAUCAUCUUCUUCCGCUUCGAAUACAGGGAAUUCAAAAUUGGGAGAUGACGUCCGAUCAUUAUGUUCAAUGGGUUUGAGAAACAACCUGCAUAAAGAUUUUGAUAUGAAAAGCUCUUUGAAAAUCAAACAAGACAAUCGUUAUGCAGAUGAAAAGAUUGCUUUUAUUCUUGUUUUUUAGGGUUUU
rnacentral:lncRNA from 1 species